CGCGUACUGUGCGAACGUUAUUCGGAAUCACUGGGCUUAAAGGGUGCGUAGGCGGCGAUUCAAGUCAGAUGUGAAAUGCCUGAGCUCAACUGAGGCAUUGCGUUUGAAACUGAAUUGCUAGAGUAUCCUAGGGGUGUGCGGAACUGCCAGUGGAACGGUGAAAUGUGUUGAUAUUGGCAGGAACACCGGAGGCGAAAGCGGCACACUGGGGGAUAACUGACGCUGAGGCACGAAAGCCAAGGGAGCGAACGGG
rnacentral:rRNA from 1 species